rnacentral:lncRNA from 1 species
UUCAUAUAUCAUUUAUGUUCAUCCUAUUUUUUUGUCCAUCUUAUCUUAAACAUCUUGAAAUAACUGAUGCUAAUUAAUAAUAAACUUUUGGCUGGCAAAAAAAAAUCAAAUUUGUCUAAUUAUCGCUUAAAUAUUUUAAUAUUGUAUAAGAAGCUUUCAAGUGAUUUCAUAGUUUAAUUUUUAUUAGUUUUUCUUUUGUUAAUUUUUAGAGUUUUUUU